rnacentral:tRNA from 4 species
GUCCCGGUAGCUCAGCUGGAUAGAGCAAUGGCCUUCUAAGCCAUCGGUCGGGGGUUCGAAUCCCUCCCGGGACG